GUGGGGGGGUGGUUCCAAGGGCUUGGAGGAAGUAAAUGCAAAGGUAAACAAACGUUCCUGGAAAAUCCCAUGGACAGAGGAGCCUGGUAGGCUACAGUCCAUGGGGUCGCAAAGAGUCGGACACGACUGAGCGACUUCACUUCACUUCAAACAAACGCUCCGGAGCGUUCGAGCGCCAGCUACCUUCUGAGCGCAGAACUACAUUUCCCAGCGGGCGUCGCGCCCGGGGUCCCUUUCUCAGGGUUUGGGCGUCCCAAAUCGCAACCGGCGCGGGCUCUGCUUUGCAAAAUGUCCAACAAAGAAUCUUGUGAAAAAGAGACGUCUCGGAGAAAAGGCACCACCCCAUCAUCCAAUAUUGAAGAUAAGAGAGAGAAAAAAGCAUCAGUAAGUUCUCCUUGUUCAACUUGCUCUGUAAGAUCAGUGUCAUCAGAGAAGAAAAAACUAGAAUCAGAUCUUGCAGAUAUUCUGUACUGUAAUAUGAAAAGAAGACAAGAACUGAAAAGACUGAAUGUAGAAACUGACCCUCCAAGAAAGAGACCAAAAAUUGAUUCUUCAUCCCAAGGACUUGUUACACUCCAGGAAACAUCAUAUUCAAAUAAUAAUCAGAUUAUUUCACAGAGUUCUUCUUCAAAUGGAACUAAGAAAGAUAUAAGUAAAUGUGUAGAUUUUCAAGUUAAAGAUAUUAAAUUGGCAAAUGUUAAGAGUAAGCUGGACCAUGGAAUUAAAAACUUUAGCUGUCCUAAGGUGGCCAAAGAUGUGAAACCAAAAGCUGAAGGCAAGGCAAGUGAAAAAACAUGGCCUCAUUUACUUGCUCAGAGGGAGAAGAUGAAGGAAUUCAAGAAAGAAAGGUCCAAUAAAUUUAGAGACAGUUCUGAAAAAUGUGCUUUGGAGAAAUGCAAGAGAAUCCAACUUUCUCAGGAUUGUAAUUCCAGCAAGAUAAUUAAGGAACCCUUUGAAUCUAGAAGGAGAAGGAUUAAUUUCAAAAUCCUGGUAAAAUCCCGCAAUACCCUCCAAAAUCUUGUACAAGAAAAUGUGUUCAGUUCAGGUUCUAACAAGUUAAAGACUAAACAGGAGAAAAAAGAAUGCCCAGAAGGCACCGAGUUUUCAUUAAAGUUGACAAGGCACAGAAGUGAAUAUUUAUUUUCAGAUUCCACAUAUAAGCAGACUGUUCAUGAGUGGGAAGGAGCAUAUCAUGAGCAUCAAGAAAUUAAUGAUUUAAGUUCUGGUGAAAACCUAACCCAGAGUUUUGAAGCACCAUGUUCUUCAGUGUCACUUGAAAGUAUUCAAGAUACAGAUCAAGAGAUGCAGAUAGUAGAAGAGCUUCAUGCUGCUCGUGUGGGAAAAAGCAUGGAUUUACCUGUGGUUCCACCUUCAGGAGAGUUAAUGAGUAUGGAAAUUGACGUGGUAGAAGAUGAUAUACAUUCCUCUGCUGGUAUACCCUUUAUGUCAAAUGCUGCUUCAGACAAAAAGCUUCUAAUUGUUAUUGACACAAAUAUUCUGAUGAAUCAUCUCAAAUUUGUUAGACUUUUGAAGACAAGAGAAAUCCCAGGCUUUGACAGUCUUGUGUUAAUAAUUCCCUGGGUGGUUUUACAAGAGCUGGAUCGUAUGAAGGCAGGAAGAUUACUGAAACAUGCCCAGCACAAAGCUAUACCUGCAGUUCAUUUCAUCAAUGACAGUCUCAGAAAUCAAGAUAGAAAGCUAUGGGGUCAGUCAAUACAACUUGCAUCUCAAAAACUUUAUGGAUUGAGUGAUGAGAACAAUGAUGAUCGUGUAUUAAAAUGCUGUCUUCAGUACCAAGAACUAUUCCCUUGUUCUCUUGUUAUUUUGUGCACGGAUGAUAGAAAUUUAAGAAACAAAGGCCUAAUAAGUGGUGUGAAGUCAUUCAGUAAAGAAGAAUUGAGUACAGAGUUAUUAAACUUAUCUCUGAACACAGAUGUAUGUCAUCAGCCUUGUAUAUCUAAACAACAAUUGAAAGCAGAAACAACACCUUUGGAGGAGAGCUAUGAGGAACAAUCUACAAACUCUGGACUACCCCUUCUACUUGAAAACAUUGUAUCUGAUCUCGAAAGAUCUCUUGGAACAGCUUUAUCUUCCAUAUUAGAAACAGAAAUGAAAAUUGCUUUUGGAAACCUCUGGAUGGAGAUGCUGUAUGUGAAACCUCCAUGGACUCUAAUACAUUUAUUACAGUGCUUUAGAAAACAUUGGUUGGCUGUAUUUGGAUUAGUUAUGGAAAAGAACUUGCUCUUAACCAUUGAGAGUCUAUAUGAAAAUGUCCGUAAAGCUAACAAAGCAGUGGAUUUUACAACAGUGAAAUUCCUGCUUCAGGAUUCUGAAAGUUUGCUACAUGCUUUCAGUACAAGGUCAAAUUAUGAUGGUAUUCUUCCACAGGCCUUUGCUCAAAUAAACAAACUACUCCAAACAUUUGCAGAGGGCAAGGCAAAACUUAAGCAAAAUUCUUCAAAAAAUACACCGGGUAAAAGCCAGGAAGAUAAUUCUCUGACGAAAUCUGAUAACCAAGAAAUCACCAUUUUCUCCAGUUCUUAUCCUCCCCAACCCAGCAGGCAUCAAGAAAUCUGGUCUGUCCUAGAGAAUGUUUGGAUUACACUGUAUCAAAACAGCAUGGAUGUGUUUCAAAGGUUGGAUUCAAAUUCAACUCUGACGUCUUCAAAGAUAGCAGCAUUUGAAGAAGCAUUUGUAUAUCUUCAAAAGUUAAUGGCAGCUGUUAAAGAUAUUCUGGAAGGAAUUCAGAGGAUUUUGGCCCCCAACAGUAAUUAUCAGGAUAUUGAGACCCUCUAUAACUUCCUAAUCAAGUAUGAGGUAAAUAAAAAUGUCAAAUUUACUGCCCAGGAACUUUAUGACUGUGUUUCACAGGCUGAGUAUCGGGAGAAGUUAACCAUUGGAUGCCGCCAGCUGACGGAGAUGGAACAUACCAUGCAGCAGUGCAAUGCCUCUGUCUCUGUGGAGGCCAGAACCAGGGGGUGGUGUGAAGACAUGCUCGACGAUGGGACUUAAGCACCGAUUUGUAACUUAGAAGGAACUGCAUUUGUCUUCAGGAACAACAGAGUACUUUUCAACCUUUUGUGCCAAACCUGAGAGACUUGCAAGAAAUCUCAUAGGUAUAAAAAGAUGAUUGCCUAAUACUGACAAUCUCAUUGAGCUUCUGUUGCAUCCAUUGUGGAAUAAAUCGUGGACUCAACUCUUCAGAAGUUGACCUUACCUCCCUACCUCUACUCCUAAUACUGAGCCAACGUGACUAAUGAAAGGAGAGCCAUCUUUUUGGACAUCUUAGGGCAAGAGCCACUGUGGCAGCUGAGGAAGGCCAGGAACACAGCAUUAGCAUCUCCCUCAACCCCAAAUAUGGGCUGGUGACCAGAUACUUUCAAACCUCAAGAAAGAAUUAGAACAUGACCAUGAUCAUCAUAUUCCACAGGAGAAAUUUUACCCUGGGCUGUUUUCUGAUCAGACUGCCUUCCAUGUAGACUGGGUGAAGUAAUCACAUCCCUUUAACUUCCCCCAAGGUAUGACUAUAAAAGUGACCCUCUGAUAGAAGAGAAUUAUGCGGAGUGCUUACCACCAGGAAGAAGGAUCUGAUGAGCUUUGUUUGCAUAGAAAGCCACACCUCCUCCCAGGAGCUCAAAGUGCCCUCAGGGAAAUGAGCCCUUGUAGAAGGAGAAGCUUCCAAAGUAUCUCUGCUGUCUGCCUUUUUCCUUUUCCUUCCUCAGGAGCCAAGAAAGCAUCCCCUCCCUUAACAAAAGAGCUUUCAUCAGAUUUUUCUUCCUCAACUACUUCUAGUUAUUAUUGGGUUUUACUGUUUGGGGUUUGUUGUUGUUGUUUUGGCGGUGCCUCGCAGUUCGCAGGAUCUUAGUUCCCCAACCAGGAUUAAACCCAGGGUCAUGGCAGGGAAAGCACCAAGACCGAACCGUGGACUCUGUGGAACUCCCUGCUCUGCUUCAUUACCUCCCUUUUUCCCUUUUAUCUUUUUAAUAUGUUAUACUUUUUAGGAAAUUUCUUUUCACUCUGGUCAUGACUUAUUUCACCCUAUACAUGUGGAUUUUAAUUUUAUCCUAGUCUUUGUGUCUUUCACUUUCUGCAUUGUCAGUUUUCAACCUUUUUAUUUAAAUAUUUAUUAUAAGAUACAAGUGUUUUCUUCUUUCUAGUCUUAUUUUUCUCUUUGGCUACAUUCUUUAAAAAAAUUUUAGUGUUUGUUUCUUUGAAAUGUCAGAUCUUUUUUGUUGCCUUUUCCUGAUUUUAAACUUUCUGCUGUUUUCCCUAAUAGUCCAUUGCAGGAGUUGAGGGCUUCCUUUCCUCCUGUCCCCUACUCUUUUUUUUUCUGGGUCUCCUCUCUGGAUUGGAGUAAUUUAGUUGACGUAAUGAUCAUUUAAGCACUCCCUUGCACAGAACAUAAAUUUGUUUUGAUAGAAGAUUAUCAGAUCUUUAGAACUUCAGGUUUUAAAAUCUCCAUUCAGUAUGGAUAGCUAUUGUAUUUUGUUUGAGGGGACUGAUGAAGAAAAUCCCAUGAGGGGAAGAGCUCUUUGCAUAAUGCCUUGCCUUAGUGAGGAGCUGUGAUAACUUUUUGAUAUGCAAUACCCAAGGAUAGAGUUCAUGGAACCAUUUUACACCAACCUUUCCUAGCUUACUUCCACAAGAUCAUCUUAUUUCCUUCUAGGAAGUACCUGGUUUGAAUCCUCUGGUUUGCAGCUGCCAUAGCUCUUCCAGCAUUCUGAGCCAAAGAAAAGUUGGCUCAAGAAUGUUUGUGUCCUACUGGGUCUUCUUGUUAGGACCUACAGUGGGCAAUUGGAACUGCACAGGGUGGAACCUCUCAGAUGGGUUCAUUUCACUUUCCUAUCAUUGUCUUUGCCUGUCAUAUGAAAGACAGGGGACACAAGACCAAACUGAAACUUUAUUUCCUUGAUCUUUUGGCCAUCAUCUUGAAAAUAGAAGUCCUUUCACCCUCCCAAGGUUGACCCACGAUUAUUUAGUGUCUUGGUCUCCCUUAGACUUCCCUGGUGGCUCAGAUGGUAAAGCAUCUGCCUACAAUGCGAGAGACCCAGGUUCGAUCCCUGGGUUGGGAAGAUCCUCUGGAGAAGGAAAUGGCACCCCACUCCAGUACUCUUGCCUGGAAAAUCCCAUGGACGGAGGAGCCUGGUAGGCUACAGUCCAUGAGGUCACAAAGAGUUGAAGACAACUGAGUGACUUCACUUUCUUACAGUUCAUAUUCCUGAUGUGACAUCUCCUCAAGUUCACCUACCUUUUGGAGCCUUUUAGCUCCUACUGACUCAUCCCAUGAAUUGGAAUGAAUUUACCUUUUUUUCUAAGAGGGAAUGUAUCUCACUAUUAAUGAAAUGCAUCUUGCACUGAGGGAUGCUGCCACCCGUACUCCUUUUCUGAUUCAGAUCGGAUCAGAUCAGACUGACAGCCCAUUCUCCAUCCAGUUGGUGGAUCCUUAGGCUAUUUGGCCAAAAAAACAAAAAACCCCACUCCAGGGAAAACAAGCAGCUGCAUGAGCGUGAGCAGAAUCUAUAGCUGUGAACCAAGAAAGGAAGGUGGUAAGACAUUCAGAUCUCAGGUACCACCAAGGCUCAGUAUUCCUAACUGCGAUCUAAACUGAGUCUCCUAGCCUGUGCAACUUGAUGGCUGACUAAUGGUUGUAGGCAAAACUACAUUAAUUUGGGAUAUAACCCUUGCAUGGCCAGACAGAAUGAAUGGUUCCCUGAUGUGAUUUCUAGUCAGGUAAAAUAAUACUAACAUGUCCUAGCCUUUUUAAAAAGCCUUUUCUUUUAAAGGUUUGGUUAAGCUAGAAAGACAGACCCUUUCCAAGUGUACAAUUUUUAGUUCUGUCAGACACCAUCACACAGUAGCUCACAUAUGAGUUUCAACUGCUCCUUAAAAUUCCCUGGUGCCUUUUUGUAGCCAACUCCCAUCCCCACCUCAGGAAGCCACUGAUGUCUCCUGUCCAUGUAGUUCUUUUCCGGAAUGCUCUGUAAAUAGAGGCUUUUCACUUAGCAUGAGGCUUCUGACGAUCCAUUUGUGUUUUAUCGUGUUUUUAUUCCUUAGUAUUUCAUUGUAUGGAUGUACCCUUCUAUCCAUUCAACUGUAAGGAUAUUUGAGUUUUCAGAUUUUGGUGAUUAUGAAUAAAGCUAUUAUAUUCAUACACA